UAAAUCCGGUUCACUUUAACACUGAGGCGUGAUGACGAGGCACUACGGUGCUGAAGCAACAAAUGCCCUGCUUCCAGGAAAAGCCUCUAAGCAUCAGGUAACAUCAAAUCGUACCCCAAACCGACACAGGUGGUCAGGUAGAGAAUACCAAGGCGCUUGAGAGAACUCGGGUGAAGGAACUAGGCAAAAUGGUGCCGUAACUUCGGGAGAAGGCACGCUGACACGUAGGUGAAGUGAUUUACUCAUGGAGCUGAAGUCAGUCGAAGAUACCAGCUGGCUGCAACUGUUUAUUAAAAACACAGCACUGUGCAAACACGAAAGUGGACGUAUACGGUGUGACGCCUGCCCGGUGCCGGAAGGUUAAUUGAUGGGGUCAGCGCAAGCGAAGCUCCUGAUCGAAGCCCCGGUAAACGGCGGCCGUAACUAUAACGGUCCUAAGGUAGCGAAAUUCCUUGUCGGGUAAGUUCCGACCUGCACGAAUGGCGUAAUGAUGGCCAGGCUGUCUCCACCCGAGACUCAGUGAAAUUGAACUCGCUGUGAAGAUGCAGUGUACCCGCGGCAAGACGGAAAGACCCCGUGAACCUUUACUAUAGCUUGACACUGAACAUUGAGCCUUGAUGUGUAGGAUAGGUGGGAGGCUUUGAAGUGUGGACGCCAGUCUGCAUGGAGCCGGCCUUGAAAUACCACCCUUUAAUGUUUGAUGUUCUAACGUGGACCCGUGAUCCGGGUUGCGGACAGUGUCUGGUGGGUAGUUUGACUGGGGCGGUCUCCUCCUAAAGAGUAACGGAGGAGCACGAAGGUUGGCUAAUCCUGGUCGGACAUCAGGAGGUUAGUGCAAUGGCAUAAGCCAGCUUGACUGCGAGCGUGACGGCGCGAGCAGGUGCGAAAGCAGGUCAUAGUGAUCCGGUGGUUCUGAAUGGAAGGGCCAUCGCUCAACGGAUAAAAGGUACUCCGGGGAUAACAGGCUGAUACCGCCCAAGAGUUCAUAUCGACGGCGGUGUUUGGCACCUCGAUGUCGGCUCAUCACAUCCUGGGGCUGAAGUAGGUCCCAAGGGUAUGGCUGUUCGCCAUUUAAAGUGGUACGCGAGCUGGGUUUAGAACGUCGUGAGACAGUUCGGUCCCUAUCUGCCGUGGGCGCUGGAGAACUGAGGGGGGCUGCUCCUAGUACGAGAGGACCGGAGUGGACGCAUCACUGGUGUUCGGGUUGUCAUGCCAAUGGCACUGCCCGGUAGCUAAAUGCGGAAGAGAUAAGUGCUGAAAGCAUCUAAGCACGAAACUUGCCCCGAGAUGAGUUCUCCCUGAGACUUUAGGUCUCCUGAAGGAACGUUGAAGACGACGACGUUGAUAGGCCGGGUGUGUAAGCGCAGCGAUGCGUUGAGCUAACCGGUACUAAUGAACCGUGAGGCUUAACCUUACA
rnacentral:rRNA from 1 species